rnacentral:rRNA from 1 species
AGAUACGGCCCCCCUUGUGGUCGGGUGACAGGUGGUGCAUGGCUGUCGUCAGCUCGUGUCGUGAGAUGUUGGGUUAAGUCCCGCAACGAGCGCAACCCUUGUUCUGUGUUGCCAGCAUGCCCUUCGGGGUGAUGGGGACUCACAGGAGACUGCCGGGGUCAACUCGGAGGAAGAGUGGGGACGACGUCAAGUCAUCAUGCCCCUUAUGUCUUGGGCUGCACACGUGCUACAAUGGCAGGUACAAUGAGCUGCGAAGCCGCAAGG